UGCUUAACAGUAAGUUGGUUUAGCUGCAUAGUUAUGCUAUCGGAGGCUUCAAACUAGGGUCUCCUGGUCUGCAGUAGGCAGAUGGUCUGGUUCUGCUCCAGGGUUGAGAGUGGCAUUGUGAUGUCGUGGGACGAACAUGAACCCUGGAGCCAGACAGCCUGGGGUUUGGUUCUGGAGGCCACUUACCUUGGGCAAGUCAUUCAAUUUUUUUCUGAACCUCAGCCUUCUUUAUCUGUGGCUGAAGUUUACGUUGGAGGGCGACUUCCUGAUUGCCAGUUAGCAUACGUGUCCGGCUACCAGCUGCCUGACUGGCUGAGGAUGCUCUUGGUUUGUUCAAGGGUGAACGUUCUCCCCCUGGCUUGCAGGAAGAGGGCAGCGAGGUGCGCCAGGGAGGCACGUGAUAGUGCCCUAUAAGCCAGUAGAGGAAAUGUUGUAAAGUGUGAAUGCACAGGCUUAGAUUCCCCUGUCCCUGAGUCGGGGGCAUGUGCUCGUGGAGAAUGACCCUAUCAAGUUCAAGGUAUGGCAUCUCCUGAUCCAGCAACAGGAUUUGUUCCAGAGAAAAAUCCCCAGGUCUUCGGACUGUUGACAGAUGGCCGUGACUGUGCUUAAUGUGGUCAUCAAAUUGAGAAGGGUCCGUCUCAUCUUUGAGUAUGCAAUUACCUUUAUAGCUGAUUAUGAUACCCUCAGAUCAUAUCAUGAGGUGGACAACAUGAGUCCAUUGCCCAUGCUGACAACUGGUAUCUUUAUAGACCCACUCACCUACCAGAGAUGUACGACAGACCCCAAAUGGUCAGUCAAAAAGUGAACUUGCGCUAAGACAAGACCCAGCCAGCAUCAGUGACAUUAGACACAAGAUAGAAAUCAGAGAAAAGUUACUGUCCAGCAGUUUUAACCACCAAUACCCAUUUAUUUUAAUGGAAAAAAAAAUCUCUGCAUUCUAUAUGUUCCAAAAGGAUUUACUAUGGAAACAAAUACAAUAUAUGGAACUCUAUCUGUAUAAUUUCACUACAACAAAGACAACAUAUGACUUCUACUUCCUACAGAAGGCUAACUGAAAGCACAAGUGCAAACAUAGAUUGCAUAAGAAAGCGUGUGUGUGUGCGUGUGCGGUUAAAACCUUUAGUAAAGCAACUGCAUUAAAAUAUGCUAAGACACUUACCUUACCCUAGUUCGUGGCGAGCUCUAAUCAAAAGCCACAAGCUGUCACUA